GUAGUACUAGGAUGGCUGACCUCC
rnacentral:siRNA from 1 species